rnacentral:rRNA from 1 species
AACGAACGCUGGCGGCAUGCCUAACACAUGCAAGUCGAACGAUGCUUUCGGGCAUAGUGGCGCACGGGUGCGUAACGCGUGGGAAUCUGCCCUUGGGUUCGGAAUAACAGCGAGAAAUUGCUGCUAAUACCGGAUGAUGUCUUCGGACCAAAGAUUUAUCGCCCAGGGAUGAGCCCGCGUAGGAUUAGCUAGUUGGUGGGGUAAUGGCCUACCAAGGCGACGAUCCUUAGCUGGUCUGAGAGGAUGAUCAGCCACACUGGGACUGAGACACGGCCCAGACUCCUACGGGAGGCAGCAGUAGGGAAUAUUGGACAAUGGGCGCAAGCCUGAUCCAGCAAUGCCGCGUGAGUGAUGAAGGCCUUAGGGUUGUAAAGCUCUUUUACCCGGGAUGAUAAUGACGGUACCGGGAGAAUAAGCUCCGGCUAACUCCGUG